rnacentral:rRNA from 1 species
UACGGGGGGGGCAAGCGUUGUUCGGAAUUACUGGGCGUAAAGGGCUCGUAGGCGGCCAACUAAGUCGGAUGUGAAAUCCCCAGGCUUAACCUGGGAACUGCAUCCGAUACUGGAUGGCUUGAAUCCGGGAGAGGGAUGCGGAAUUCCAGGUGUAGCGGUGAAAUGCGUAGAUAUCUGGAGGAACACCGGUGGCGAAGGCAGCUCGCUGGGACGUGACUGACGCUGAGACGCGAAAGCGUGGGGAGCAAACAGG